rnacentral:rRNA from 1 species
GAUGAACGCUGGCGGCGUGCCUAAUACAUGCAAGUCGAGCGAACAGACGAGGAGCUUGCUCCUCUGACGUUAGCGGCGGACGGGUGAGUAACACGUGGAUAACCUACCUAUAAGACUGGGAUAACAUCGGGAAACCGGAGCUAAUACCGGAUAAUAUAUUGAACCGCAUGGUUCAAUAGUGAAAGACGGUUUUGCUGUCACUUAUAGAUGGAUCCGCGCCGCAUUAGCUAGUUGGUAAGGUAACGGCUUACCAAGGCGACGAUGCGUAGCCGACCUGAGAGGGUGAUCGGCCACACUGGAACUGAGACACGGUCCAGACUCCUACGGGAGGCAGCAGUAGGGAAUCUUCCGCAAUGGGCGAAAGCUUGACGGAGCAACGCCGCGUGAGUGAUGAAGGUCUUCGGAUCGUAAAACUCUGUUAUUAGGGAAGAACAAAUGUGUAAGUAACUAUGCACGUCUUGACGGUACCUAAUCAGAAAGCCACGGCUAACUACGUG